GACUUUUAGCAAUGGAUAGGUCUGCUCUCUAUUCGAUGAAGAACGUAGUGAAAAUGAUACUUGGUAUGAAUUGCAGAAUCCUAUGAACCAUCGAGUCUUUGAACGUAAUUUACACUCAGACACAUUAGGCCGAGGGAACGUCUGCCUAGGUGUCA
rnacentral:rRNA from 1 species